GGUCCAUUAGCUCAGCUGGCAGAGCACUUGACUUUUAAUCAAGUGGUCCCGCGUUCGAAUCGCGGAUGGAUCACCA
rnacentral:tRNA from 1 species